rnacentral:rRNA from 1 species
UGAUAUUAAUGCGAGUUAUGAUGUGGUAAAUAAUCCUUGUGGUUAGUAUAUUGCACGUGCUUGUGUUAUUUAUGUCAAAUAUGUCGGCGUGCCCUUCGAUCUAUGGCCUGAUUGGUAGCCUUUGAUUUCUGCUUGCAGUUAAUUGGAGACCAUUAGUGUCCUGAUCAUCUGUUUGACGGUAUUCAAAUGGUAUUAAGUCGCAAUUUUUUUUGCGUUAAGUCUGUCACAAGUGAGGUUAAUAAUUAGCAGUACAGAUCUAAUGCUGUCGUUAACGUUAACCAACUGUUAGUAGACCAGUGUUCUUUAACUGACUUAUUACCGGUCAGCRACGCUACUGCUUUGGGUACUUUCAGGACCCGUCUUGAAACACGGACCAAGGAGUCUAACAUGUACGCAAGUCAUUGGGAUUUUUUUAAAACAAACCUAAAGGCGUAAUGAAAGUGAAGAUUGUCGUAUGACAAUUGAGGGAAGAUGGGUUACAUCAUGAUGUAAUCUCGCAUUCCCGGGGG